UAGCUUGAUAAUAGGGUCCCUUGAGAAAUCCGCCGGCUUAACUGGCGGGCGUUCAGGGGAAACUUGUUUUCUAGGGACCGGGAGAGGUGAGGGGUACUGCCGGGGUAGGAGUGAAAUCCUGUAAUCCCGGUGGGACCACCUAUGGCGAAGGCAUCUCACCAGAACGGGUCCGACAGUGAGGGACGAAAGCUGGGGGAGCAAACCGGAUUAGAUACCCGGGUAGUCCCAGCUGUAAACUAUGUGCGUUAGGUGUGUCAGUGACCACGUGUCACUGAGGUGCCGAAGGGAAACCGUGAAACGCACCGCCUGGGGAGUACGGUCGCAAGGCUGAAACUUAAAGGAAUUGGCGGGGGAGCACCACAACGGGUGGAGCCUGCGGUUUAAUCGGACUCAACGCCGGGAAUCUCACCGGAUAAGACAGCUGAAUGAUAGUCGGGAUGAAGACUCUACUUGACUAGCUGAGAGGAGGUGCAUGGCCGUCGUCAGUUCGUACUGUGAAGCAUCCUGUUUAGUCAGGCAACGAGCGAGACCCACGCGAGCAGUUGCCAGCUUGACCUUCGGGUUGAUGGGGACACUGCUCGGACCGCCUCUGCUAAAGGGGAGGAAGGACUGGGCAACGGUAGGUCAGCAUGCCCCGAAUUAUCCGGGCUACACGCGGGCUACAAUGGACAGGACAAUGAGUUUCGACACCGAGAGGUGAGGAUAAUCUUCUAACCCUGUCCCAAGUUCGGAUUGUGGGUUGUAACUCACCCGCAUGAAGCUGGAAUCCGUAGUAAUCGCGUUUCAACAUACCGCGGCGAAUAUGUCCCUGCUCCUUGCACACACCGCC
rnacentral:rRNA from 1 species